UACGGAGGGGGCGAGCGUUAUUCGGAAUUAUUGGGCGUAAAGGGCGCGUAGGCGGCCUUGUAAGUCAAAGGUGAAAUCCCUCGGCUCAACUGAGGAACUGCCUUUGAAACUGCAAGGCUUGAGGCCGGGAGGGGGUAGCGGAAUUCCCAAUGUAGCGGUGAAAUGCGUAGAUAUUGGGAGGAACACCAGUGCGAAGGCGGCUACCUGGACCGGUUCUGACGCUGAGGCGCGAAAGCGUGGGUAGCAAACAGG
rnacentral:rRNA from 1 species